CUGGUUUCCCGUGCCCAUUAGUGUGUAUGCUAAUAGGGUUAUUAUCCUCUGACCAAACUCUGCCAAGAUCAUCCUAGAAACUGGUAACAAUGGUGAGCAGGCAGCUGCGAUGGGCUGGAGUUGGAUAAAGCAGCCAGAGGGGAGGUCCGGACCCUGCAGUACUGAGGGGCUAAGGGCAGGGCUGCGUUGGAAAUCCCUAGUCUUCAUUUGGGGUGAGAGAAGGAAGCCACCACUCUAGACCAGGAGACAGUGAGGGACAGCAGAAGCAGGAGCGUCGUACCGAAACGGAAAGCAAUUUCAGGUUGGCUGCAAUAGGAGGAAGAUUAGUACCAAACCUCGGCUAAAACACCCAGUAGAUAGAGCAUUAGGUGCAGUUUGUAAAGCUAAUUUUAAGAGAAGGGACUUUAUCCUGAGGGCCACAGGGAUUUCUUUAAAAGAUUUAAAACGAGAGGGAAGCGAUCGGAUGAAAACGAACGCAUUCAUUUAGUCCAUUGUGGCGGUGAGGAAGGGGUAAAGGCGCAGGCCGCGCGCAGUGGGCAGGUAACUGCGGGGAUCCGGGUGGAAACGCCAGGGGCGCGCACCGGAGCCGCGGGAGCCACGAGCAGACGUGCGGACGAAACGGAUUCUGGGGCUGGAUGAGUUGGCGCGGAAGGGUUGAUGACCGGGCAGGAAAGAGGCCAUGGCUGAGAUGCGAAACGUGGGAGGUCUGAAGACAGGUGCUGAGCUCCGGUUAAAAGACAUUUCCAGCCUCCACGUGAAAUUGCUUGGAUUUCAGGACAGGUGGUCUGGAAGCAGGAGGGCGCAUUGCGCGUGGACCAGACCUUCGAGAGAGCCGCCAGCAAAGCCGGGCCGCACUUAUUUUCCUUUUCUUCAAAAAUACCCGGAAUCCCAAGACCUGCAGUGAGAUAGGUAGGGGGUCCCAGCGCUCUGAUUUGGGGAGGGGAAAUGAGAUUUCGGGGUAGGAGCUGUUUACCAUUACCUCACCGCGAAUUCUGGAAAUAACCUUUAAUCCACCCCCCCCCGGUGCCGCCCACAAAUUAACUCAGUGCAUCCGAGUGUUGAUACAGAAUCUUGAUCUUUUCUUUCCUGGAAGAGUAUUUCAUAGAAAUGGGUUUGGUUUUAAAAUGUGCCGAGCUCCUUUCUCCCAACUCCUGUAUUUAAACAUUAGGGUGACCAACUUUCAAUUUUAAUAAAUAUCGCAUUUAAAAUACGCAACCACUUUCAAAACACCAGAACGCGAGACGGCCAUAUUCCACCAGUGCGUGCAAACUUUCCAAAUUUUUGACCGUGGCAGGUUACUGGCCUCGCCUACGAACUCCGCGCGAGUCCCUAGUUUGCCAAGCCAGGGACAGAGACAGCACGUCCUCACCGCACCACCGGCUCCGCCCCCGACCAACGCUAGCAGGUUCCCCCCCACGCCACGCCCCCGGUCCCCGCCCACUUCAGAACUCGGGGGCGGGCCCGGGAUGCCCUACGCUGGUUGGCUGGCUCCUCGUAGCCUCGCCCCAGAGCGCGCGCAGGAAGUUGGGCGGGCGCGCGCGGCGCUGCCCCGCGGGGAAGCGCCCGCGACCCUCGUUCGCACCCCGGCCGAGGCGUCCUUGAGCUGCUUCGGGACAGCCUGGGUCCCGAGGCCCCUCCUGUCCCGUUCCCAGCCUCGCGGACCGCCGGGCAACGGCCGAGGACGCCGCCCGCGGUGCCCGGAUGUCGCGGUCCGGGGAACGCGGGCUUAAAGGACCUGCGCUCCCCGCGACCGUCCCGGGCGGCCUGAGGCCCGGCUUCCGCAGCCGGCCGGUCCCUGUGAUUGGCGGAGGCGCAGAGAAUGCUGGACGUCGUUGGUCCCGCCCUUCCCGGGUCAAGAUGGUGCAGGCGAGGCCCUACCCCGGACGGCCCCUGCCCUUCGAGCUGGGGACCCCAGAAAGAGAACGCUAACUUGUUUGAGAUCGCGGACUGGGGCGAUGGCGUCGAGCUUUAGGCCUUCUUCAAAACAUAAAAUAACAUGAUUUUACUUAAUUGACUACACAACAAGAAUUAAAGACUUGGAAAUGACAAAGGCGGGAACAGAAGCCUCCAGAAAAGAAGAUGAAGUUAAUGACAUGCUUCAUUCUAAGAGACAUGAGCUCAUUUCCUGUUGGAGAGAUUCCUACCAAAUGAGAUUUGAUGCUAAAUAAAUUUAUCUUACAGACCCUUCCUUAAAUCCGUGCUGGUGUGUGGGGGCAGGCAUGGAAAAUGGAAGAGGUAAGAGAUGUAAGGGAAAACUUAAA